CGACACUAUAGGUACUGGAGGGCAUGCAGAGGAGAUUCAUCAGGACGUUGCCUGGAAUGGAGCAUUUCAGCUAUGAAGAGAGGUCGCCAAGGUGACAGAAUGAAUAUACAUGCAACAUGGUGUAUUUAACAAACGGAUGACCCAAUGCAUCUCGCCAGCUGAAAUUGCCAGCUGAGAAAAUGGUGGAUCUAAGAGGUUGUGUUACUUAUUGUCAGCAAGAGCAUGGCCCCAUAUCCUCUUUAACAGAUGCUGCCAGGUCUGCUAGGCUUUUCCAGCAACUUCUGAUUUUGUUCCAUCCUCUUGGUUGACUGGAUUUUAUCGAUACCGAAUAUUUCCAGCAUCUGCAGUUCUUUGUGGGUCAUGAUUCAUUGCAUGUAUCAACACAAGAACAGCUCGUGGAACCAGGGAGGAAACUUGACAAAAUGUAAAAAAGUAAUGCAAUGGUUUGAAGUUAAACAGGUUUGAUGUAGACUUGGGAGUAUAAAGUUAUUAAGCAAUUUAUUCAAACUAAUGAUCUGUCAGU